rnacentral:lncRNA from 1 species
AUUUUUCCCACAGUAGGCAGGGCCCUUCCGGCAGCUCAAUGAUCACGGCACGGUGGAAGUAGAACAGGUAAACUCCCAGAUCUCAGAAGUACAGCCACCAAUGUAUACAACGUAUUCAGUAUAAGUUUUGCACUUUCAUCAUUAUCAUAAACUUGUCUGAUGUAUAGAUUCUAAUAAUUAUGUUUAGCUCUGUUUUUGCUUAGAAGUGCAUAAAAUAGGUAAAAAACAAUCUAAAAAUAUGUAGUGUAAGAAACGCAUAAAAUAGGAAGAAAAAAAAGAAAUAAAUGAAAUAAUCUAAAGAGUAAUAAAACAUAAAGAGACACAUAAAAUAGGAAGAAAAAAAGCUUAAGAUUUGAAAAAGAAAUAAAAAAAAGAAUCUAAUGAUGUAGUAAAACAAAAAGAAACACAUAAAAUAGUUAUAUAAAGACAGAGCAAAAAGAUGCAUAAAUACAAAGCAAAAAGAUACACAUAAAAUAGGUACAGAAACACAUAAAGAGAGAGAAGAAAUAAAAUGAUGUAAGAUGCUAUUAUAAACCAAAGUAUAGAUACAGAAAGUCAAAAAGAUGCAGAAAUUGAUGCAAGCUUUUAUGAAGAAAUGAAAAAACGAAAGCUAGAAGCUUAGAGAAAAGAAAUUGUAGACAUUCAAGCAAGAAUUUGCCAACAUUAAAGAUAGAAAAGAAGCUUCUUGAAUCUGCUGACAAAAAAUAGAACGUGCAGAUACUGAAUCAAGAAGUUGCCAAAGAAAAGAAGAGGAGC